UGCAGGAACCCUGAUUAGUGUGAGUGGAAAACGGCCGAGUCUCCUCUGAUAAAUCUGUGCCACUGAAAACAGUUCAUCUGACUCUGACUGUAAACAUGUUUCUAUUUGUCACUUCAGCCUUUACUCUGAAAUACAGGAAAUGAAAUCACAGCUCAAACUAUUUCUUUAACAGUUUAAAUGUUAUUUAAACAUUGUAGAAUUUCAACAAAACAAACAGCCAGAAUAAGAAAACAUCUGCAGAACACAUGGAUCAAAAUACAUUCAAUAAAAAAAUUGAUAACAUGAAACAUAUUUCUUCAUCCAACUGCUAAAACAAAGCUAACCACUCAAUAUGAACACUAAAGCAGAACAGUUUAGAAACCUUAAAAUGGAACUAGGGAACCAUUUUCAUUCAUAGCUGCCUCAUCAGAUCUUUACAGGAGAUUCCAUCUGAACUCUGGUGAGCCUGAUCUCAAGGGUUUGAAGUCUGACCCUGAAACCAGAAGAGGAUCGUUCUGUCUCUUCAGAUUCACUGUGAUGGGAGUGAUUUCAGCCAGGACUGAUCACACUGAUGUUUGCGCAGACAAUGAAGUGAAUGCUUUGGCACAUUGGUAACAGUGAAACAGUUUAUUAGUAACGUAGUAUCGUUUGUGUUCAGAUUCAGAAGCAUUUAUUUAUCCCCAAGGAUCAAUUAAGAGACUGACCUUGCCGACCGUACAUACAAUACACAAACAUCACAUUGGGGAGACGGGUCAGGCUAGGUAGCUGGGCUGUCAGCCGUACGAGCAGCGACCCAGAACCAAACAACAAUGGAAAAUGCACAUGUAACCCAUAUUUAAGGAUGGCUUGGAUAAAAUAUACCAAAAUGAAAAAAAGGGACCAUUAAUCUUAGCAGUACACUCUGUUUAUAGUGAAUAAGCCAUAGGUGCAGCAGUUAAAGAGUUAACUGCUCUGGUGUAGGCGUGAGUUGCUCUAAGCCAAUGAGCUGCUGAAACGUGGUGCAGGGUCCCGCCUGCCAUCUCCGUCUGAGAGAGCACAGGCUUUUCCUUCUCUCUCUCGCGAAUCCUCCAUGAGCACGCUAGCAAGGAAAAAGACACAGCGAUUCACUGAAACGAGAUCGGGAGUUAGAGACGACGCCAUUUCAUCAUUCCUGCGCCAUCUCGCGCUGCUCCGCCUUUCUUUUCUGAGAUCGGUCAGGUUUUUUUGUUUCCCUUUGUAUCUUCCUUUUGAUGCAUUGCAACGGAUCCUGUAAUCGAUGGCGAGCCAACCCCGUUGAAGGACCAAUUGACUUUGUUCUGUGCUGCACAGCAGAGUGUGGUAGGCCAGUUGCAACAAAACAAAAACACACCGCGCCACUUUGAACUUACUGUUCCCCUUCUUCACACACAUCCCCCUGGACUUACGGACGGUUUAUUUUAAGGACUUUUUACGGACUCUAUACAUCCCACGAACAGGAAGGGAAGUGGGUGUGGGCGGUUGGAUCUAUUUCUCCAGCUGAAUAAUUGUUGCAAUUGGUUCACAAAGUCUAUGAAGAUAUAACCAAGUGUUGUUAUUUGGAUUUUGCUAAGUGAUAUUGUGGUUCAUUUUGGAAGUGAACUUCGUACAUUUAGAAGGGUGCACCCAGGUAAGGUUUCUUUUUUGUGAUUACUGUGAUUGUGCCACAGGGUUGUCACUGAGGAAAAUACUGGUACCAAAAACAGAGGCUUUUAUUUAUAAUAUUUUGUAUGUUUGUAAUUUUCUUUCUUUUGUUUCUGGAUGACAAAAAAUACAAAGCCGGCAUUUUCAAAACUCACAGUUGCCUGAGUCUCAUUCAGUUUGCCUCUCCUGUACAUAGCCGAACCCACUGGUCCAAAGCAGUGAGCUCUUUUGCAUCAAAUUUGGGUGAAGUACCUUUUGGUCUUAGAGUAUUAGAAACACAUUAGUGUUAUACACAACAUGAGGAAAGAUGAGGAGAAAAAAAGAACUCCCCCAGACUGAGCUCCAACAGGAAGAUCAUUUUGAGUACAUGCGUAUGUGUUUGCGUGAGUGUCUGUUCAGUGUUCAACCAAGAGAACGUGUCCCUUCACCCGGUUAAGCAAAAGUCAACAAUCUUCGUUUGACGCAUGUGACCUUGAAUGACGAGGGAGAGAGUCAUAACAAACAGUCUUAUUAUCUAAUGAAGAAUUAUUAUUCCUUUGCCUUGAGCAUGUAGCUGGUGCCAGGGGUGCCGCAUGAGAUGAAGAUGGUAGUUAUUUUGGUUACUGCGAACAAACUGCAUCCAACUUUACAGUUGGUCUAAAGUCCGUCACUGGUCACCAGGUCUCUAUAUUCCAGUUUAUCUUCUUCAAGAUGUUAUCCAUAUAGCAGAACCAAAACAACCAAAAAAAAACCCCCAAAAAAACAGAUGACCUGCAUCCAAUCCAACAGUCCGAGUACUCACAGCCGUGCCCAUGGUCUAUCAUGUCGGCCAGCCUUGUGGGAUUUUGAACAGCUGUUGCCACUUCUUGUUCUUCCAUAAGCCAGGUCCGGGCCAGCUCCAAUCAGCCAGAACUCUGUUAUUGUGGUUCCGAAUUGGUAGAUGUCAUUCAAUGUUCUCCAUCGAGAGUGUCACCAGACUCACGACGCAACCGACUGGCAGCAAAUAUCUCCGCAGGACAGUCGAGCUCUCCCAAGCCCAGGAGGGUGUCAAUUCCAUUAAGGGACCAGUUGAUCAAAUCCAUAAUUGUUCUUUCCGUUUUUAGAGAACAAGUCUAGGAGACUCUCUUAGGGUUAGAGAAUAAGCGAGACUAUACAAAGGACAUGAUGAGCCAAACAGGAAAGAUAAGCGAGAAGGAGAGGGUGAAGGAGAAAGUGCGACCGCCUCUGUCAAGAGCCAAGAGAACCAGAGUAUGAACUGAGAUUCCUGAAGCUCUUGUCACACUGGUCACAGCUGUAGUUUCCUUUCAUGUGCGUACGUUCAUGAAAGUUAUGACUACCUGGGAGUGAGAAGCUUUUGUCACAGUUUCUGCAUGGUUUCUCAACUGUGCACAUGUUUGUUUGUUUGUUUGUUAAAAUUGACCAGUAGUAGUGAACGAUGACCCACAUUGGUCACAGAGGUGCUUUUUAACCCCACUGUGAAUGACUUCAUGGCGUUUUAAUGUACUCGAGAAGCUUCACCCACUAUUUUUGCACUAGGUGAGUUUAUCUCCAGUGUCUUUAUGUUGAUGUCUUUUUAGGUCAGCUUGCCAACUGAAACUCUUUCCCACCACCACAGUGAUGACAGGGUUGGGAACUGGAUCCAUCUGUGUCGCUCU